rnacentral:rRNA from 1 species
CUACGGGGCGCUGCAGUGAGGAAUAUUGCACAAUGGGGGGAACCCUGAUGCAGCAACGCCGCGUGGAGGAUGACGCAUUUCGGUGUGUAAACUCCUUUUAUAUGUCAAGAAAAUGACGGUAGCAUAUGAAUAAGCACCGUCUAACUCCGUGCCGGCAGCCGCGGUAAUACGGAGGGUGCAAGCGUUACUCGGAAUCACUGGGCGUAAAGGACGCGUAGGCGGGUUGGAAAGUCAGGUGUGAAAUCCUACAGCUUAACUGUAGAACUGCACUUGAAACUUCUAAUCUAGAGUAUGGGAGGGGGAGAUGGAAUUAGUGGUGUAGGGGUAAAAUCCGUAGAUAUCACUAGGAAUACCUAAAGCGAAGGCGAUCUCCUGGAACAUUACUGACGCUAAGGCGUGAAAGCGUGGGGAGCAAACAGGAUUAGAUACCCCAGUAGUC